rnacentral:rRNA from 1 species
UACGUAGGGGGCGAGCGUUGUCCGGAAUCACUGGGCGUAAAGGGCGCGUAGGCGGUAAUAUAAGUCAGAUGUGAAAGUGGGGGCUCAACCCCUAGAGUGCAACUGAUACUGUAUAACUUGAGUGUGAGAGAGGGAAGCGGAAUUCCUAGUGUAGCGGUGAAAUGCGUAGAUAUUAGGAGGAACACAGUGGCGAAGGCGCUUCUGGCUCAUAACUGACGCUGAGGCGCGAAAGCGUGGGGAGCAAACAGGAUUAGAUACCGU